CUAACUAUUGCAAAAAUGCUGAUCUGGUGUGUGAGUAGCACAGGUUUAAGAGUUUGUUGCUCCUUAGCAUUGCAAAGAAGGGGAUUGUUUUAUCUGGCGCUGGAUUAGUCUCCAUUAUAUCUCCUCUUCUGUUUUAGCUAGGGAUUUUUAACAUGAUUGAGUUUUACCUAGUUUUCAAUGUUAGCAGCUGGGUAAACAUACUUUCUGCAACACCCUGGAUAAAAUGGCAAACUCCAGGGGAAAGUCUUCUACCUUUAGAUUAAUAAAAAAGACUUGCUCACAGCCCUGGUUGGGGAAUAGUAACACUUGAGAGCAUUUGAGGGGAAUCGUGUGUGCUGGCUGUGGAAAACGCAGCUGAUGACCAAAACAGGCAGCUGCCGUCCUGAGUGAGGCUGAUCGCCCUCAGAGAGUAGCUUCAAACUGUACUUAGCAAGAAUAACAGAGAACUGAGGUCAUCACUAUUUGAACUACCGUGGAGGAAGAGAGACGUGCUAGAAGAGACUUGGAGAACUGCAACUCAUAAGAAGGUACCAAAAAAUGUCAGCGCACUAGCAGAAGAGAGCACAAAAGCUAGCCUGCAAGCAGCCAAGGGCUCUAUCUGUGGUCUGUGUUUUAACGGCAGUACCAAUGAUGAUGUGACCUCCUUAUGAAAUUUCCUCUCCUAGGACUACCCACGCCUGCCCCGUCUCUUCCUUGCAGGUCGAUUCCUUACUUAUUGUUAAGUCUGAAUAAAAAUAUAACAAACUUAUAGAUACCAAA
rnacentral:lncRNA from 1 species